UACGGGCCAGAAAGCCAAGCUGG
rnacentral:piRNA from 1 species